AAGUCGUAACAAGGUAUCUGUAGGUGAACCUGCAGAUGGAUCAUUUCGAUGAAAACCUUUUUUCUGAGGUGUGGCUCGCACCUGUCCAACUAAACUUGAGCUACCUUUUUCAACACGGUUGCAUCGGUCGAGAGCCUGUCAAAGAACGCGAAAGUGUCCUUUGGUUCGGCCCUCGACACUUUACACAAACACUUUUGAUCUUCUAGGAUUUGAAUGACAAUUUAUGACUGGUAAUUCGGUCGUUUAAAUUUAAAAACAACUUUUGGCAACGGAUCUCUUGGUUCUCC
rnacentral:misc_RNA from 1 species